GGCUUAAUUUGACUCAACGCGGGAAAUCUUACCGGGUCCGGACACACUGAGGAUUGACAGGUAACGUUAUACACACAUAUAUUUACUCUCGGGUAUUUAUACUGCUGUGUAUAUAUAAAAUAUGCUAGUCCUUUCAUGAUUAUGUGAUAGGUGGUGCAUGGCCGUUCUUAGUUCGUGGAGUGAUCUGUCUGCUUAAUUGCGUUUCACUAAGGAUCUAUAUUCAUAUUACGCAUAGCAUUUUGACCCCUUUAUGCUUCGGUAUAAAGCUGCGCGUCAAACCUUGCUAUCUGCGUAUAUUAGAUCCCGAAAGCAACGAACGUGACCGCAACCUCUUGUUGCCUUUAACUAGGUUUUGCUUACGUAUAGCUUCGGCUUUACGCUUUGCAUCUAAAAAGGCUGAUUUUCUAAACUAGAGGGACCGCUGUUACUUUCUUAAACCAGAGGAAGGUUGCGGCAAUAACAGGU
rnacentral:rRNA from 1 species